rnacentral:rRNA from 1 species
ACAUGAAGCCGGAAUCGCUAGUAAUCGCGGAUCAGAAUGCCGCGGUGAAUACGUUCCCGGGUCUUGUACACACCGCCCGUCACACCAUGGGAGUCGGAAAUGCCCGAAGUCUGUGACCCAACCGUAAGGAGGGAGCAGCCGAAGGCAGGUCGGAUGACUGGGGUGAAGUCGUAACAAGGUAUC